UCUAAUGUGGCAGAAUAGUGCAAUGGAUUUAAACCCCAUACAUAAAGUUACCUUUCUUUAGAA
rnacentral:tRNA from 1 species